CGCGCGGUGGAGCAGUCUGGUAGCUCGCCGUCCUCAUAAGUCGGAGGCCGUUGGUUCAAAUCCAACCCGCGCAACCA
rnacentral:tRNA from 1 species